GUGGCUAAAUCAUCGUAUUGAUCGAAAAAAAACAGCAAUAAUUAAUUAUUUUAUUAUAUGAUUCAGCGACGAAUUUAUCAAGCGAAGACUUAAGUUUAAAGCCAUAACCGAAAAAAAAUUGAGAGAUGCGAUAUUUCUUGAACGAUUUAUUUUUAGUCCAAUUUAGAGAAAAUCAAAAUGAUAUAUAUUGACAUCCUAGGUCGCGUGCAGGUGAAUAUAACGUUCUAUUUUUUCUAAAUAGUUGGAUAUGAGCCAAUCAGAGAGAUAGGAAUUAAUCAAUAUAUAUAAUAAUAUUUUUAUUUUUUUUUAUCAUUUUGGAUUUUGUCAAUGGUCCUUCAAUUAUUUUAACCACUGGCUAUAAAUAUUUUAUCCAUGUCAACAAAAAUUGUCUAAAUGCUAACGUUUUUUUUCAUUUACUGUCAUUAAUCUUAUUAUUUAAAUAAAUGCAACAAGCUUUAAGUCCAUAAAUUGUUUAUUAACACUUGUAAAAUGUUUCGAUUUUGUUUGUGUUUGUUGGAUUUUACAGAUGACUUUAUUUCCCACCCACCCACCCUCACACACUAUUGUAUUCAUGGAUGACAUGGUAUAACUAAGCAACAACAUAAUAAUUGCCAUUUUCCUUUUAAGCUUCAUUAACCAACUUAAAGUUUUUUAUCAGGCUCCUCCCUCCACUUAUCCGUCCAUGGUAUAUAGUUAUCAGAUCUUCUCAGCCAAUUCCAUUAUUCAAAUGUACUUGCAUCUCAUUACAAACUGUAAAACAAAAUGAAGAUUGGAAAAAAAAUAUUUUUAUUAAUGUUGCUGCAGCAUGUGUGUUUUCCACAGAAACUGUUCUUUAAACACUCACCCGCGUCUUUUCUUGACGAACUUGCAAAAUCAAACAAAAUAGAAGGUCUUCUUCACUUAAAACCUGCGCACAGUCAACAGAGUGGCAUGGGGAAGAGGAGUAAGAGGAGCGGAAGGCUCUGUCGAUCUGUUUGUGGAAAAUGUGAGCAGGUUUUAGGACAGUCUUGGUCCCUCAAAUGCCAUCACGACUGCUUACAUUGGGGAAUACCUUUUCGUGUGUGCUUAAAAGUAACGUCUUACAAAGAUCACAGAUAGAAUGCAGCACGGCACCUUAUCGCAAGAAAAAAUCCCGCAAAUUGUAUUCAAAACUUUGUAAAGGAGUGACGGUUUUAUAACAAGCUGUGAAAUUGGAAUUGAUGAUCGAUUAAAUACGUUAUGUAACUGUUGCAGGUGUUUUUAUGAAAUCAGAUUCUUUGCAUUACAGUGAUUAGAAAAAUUCUUUAAUAAUAUUAACCAGGUUUACUAAGUUACAAUCUGCUUAUUAAAUUUGGUUUCAUAAUUUCCAAAUUACCUCAAAUAUGUCCUUUAUUUGAUUUAUUUCAAUUUAUCUGUUAUCAUAAGAUAUAAAUUGUGUGGUAGAGUGUUAUUUUUAAUUUGUUUUAUUGAAAAAAUUAAAUAUCAAAUGCAACUAUUAAUUUCUAUAAUUCGCAUUUUUGAAUACCUGCAAUGUUCGGACUUUCCGUAAUAAAUAAAAGAGUAC
rnacentral:sRNA from 1 species